GAUGAACGCUGGCGGCGUGCCUAAUACAUGCAAGUCGAGCGAACAGACGAGGAGCUUGCUCCUCUGACGUUAGCGGCGGACGGGUGAGUAACACGUGGAUAACCUACCUAUAAGACUGGGAUAACUUCGGGAAACCGGAGCUAAUACCGGAUAAUAUAUUGAACCGCAUGGUUCAAUAGUGAAAGACGGUUUUGCUGUCACUUAUAGAUGGAUCCGCGCCGCAUUAGCUAGUUGGUAAGGUAACGGCUUACCAAGGCGACGAUGCGUAGCCGACCUGAGAGGGUGAUCGGCCACACUGGAACUGAGACACGGUCCAGACUCCUACGGGAGGCAGCAGUAGGGAAUCUUCCGCAAUGGGCGAAAGCCUGACGGAGCAACGCCGCGUGAGUGAUGAAGGUCUUCGGAUCGUAAAACUCUGUUAUUAGGGAAGAACAAAUGUGUAAGUAACUAUGCACGUCUUGAGGGGACCUAAUCAGAAAGCCACGGCUAACUACGU
rnacentral:rRNA from 1 species